CUCUAACCAACUAGUAUCCUCCUCCGUGAUAGUAGAAAAAUUUAGUCCGUCCACCUUUGGCCUACAAUCAAACUGCUCUUGAUAGAGAUUUUGAUAGAAUCUCACAAUUUGAUUCCCAAUAUCCUACGGAUCCUCAUAAGUAACUCCAUCAACCUCCAACAAUGUGAUAGAGUUGUUGUGCCUAUUAGAAUUAGCGACUCUAUGGAAAAACUUGGUGCAUUUAUCCCCCUCUUUCAACCAUGUGACUUAGAUUUGUGGUGCCAUUCUCCUCUAUCUCCACCAGUCUCUCCAACUCUCCC
rnacentral:lncRNA from 1 species